UGGACCUCCAAGGAGCGAGCGAGCUGCCCAGACCUCUGGCUGCGGGGAACUCCAGAAGCUCCAGGCUGCGAGAGCAAAUCAGCCCACUGAGGUGUGUGCGGCAGUCGGAGAGAGAGACCGAGGCCUGGGAUCGCGCAGUGACAGGGGCAGAGCGACAGCCCUGCCCUGAGCCCCAGCAAGGGGGAGAAGCAAGGCUGCCUGCUUUCCGCUGCUCCCAGGAUUGGUUUGAGACAGCGCACCAAAACGCAUACAGGUAUUUCCCAUCGCUUGAGGGUCGGGUGAGAAAAAGCCCUCCCACUGUGCGAGCGGAGCGACUGCGGGACCG
ensembl:lncRNA